rnacentral:rRNA from 1 species
CCCCUAGAUGUUCUGGGCCGCACGCGCGCUACACUGAACAGUUCAACAAGUCUUAACCUUGGCCGAUAGGUCUGGGUAAUCUUUGAACGCUGUUCGUGAUUGGGAUAGACCUUUGCAAUUAUGGGUCUUCAACGAGGAAUUCCUAGUAAACGCAAGUCAGCAGCUUGCAUUGAUUACGUCCCUGCCCUUUGUACACACCGCCCGUCGCACCUACCGAUUGAAUGGUCCGGUGAAAUCUCGGGACGGCGGCUUGGUCGCUUGCGUCCGACUGCUGAAACUUGAUUAAACCAUAUCAUUUAGAGGAAGGUGAAGUCGUAACA